rnacentral:rRNA from 1 species
CCUACGGGAGGCAGCAGUGGGGAAUAUUGCACAAUGGGGGGGAACCCUGAUGCAGCGACGCCGCGUGGAGGAAGAAGGUCUUCGGAUUGUAAACUCCUGUUGUUGAGGAAUGAUAAUGACGGUACUCAACAAGGAAGUGACGGCUAACUACGUGC